rnacentral:rRNA from 1 species
UACGGAGGGUGCGAGCGUUGUCCGGAAUCAUUGGGCGUAAAGGGCGCGUAGGUGGCCCGGUCAGUCUUUGGUGAAAGCGCGGGGCUCAACCCUGCGUCGGCCAGGGGAUACUGCCGCGGCUCGAGCACUGUAGAGGCAGGCGGAAUUCCGGGUGGUAGCGGUGGAAUGCGUAGAGAUCCGGAAGAACGACCGGUGGCGAAGGCGGCCUGCUGGGCUGACACUGACGCUGAGGCGCGAAAGCUAGGGGAGCGAACGGG